AUUUGUUUUUAGUAUUAUAUUGUGGCUAAUGAAGCCGCUAAAAAGUCCUUUCAGUCAGUUGCAACAACAAUUAAAGCAGCAGGAAACAACCAAGUACACAUGCAAGUGACAAUGAGGAUUGCAAAAGUUUUAAAUAUCAGAAACUGAAGAAGAAAUUGAUAAUUAGCAGAUAACAAAAAAGCGCAAAAGUACUGAUUAUACAACUCUUUUAAAGUUGAGGAAGAAUUUUAUGUGGAAUGUUAAUGCAAAAGGUACAAAUAUUGACAGUUAAACCAUCGCCACCUCCACAGCCACCUUAUCUCAAGCAUUUAAUUGCAUUCUAAGUUAUCUUUAUUCAAAUCAAGUGUGACUACUAUACCAAAAGACUGUAGAAUGGGCCAAUCAACUAACCCAUCAGUACUUGCAAAGUCUUCUUUUCUGUAAGCCCGAAAUUUGAGUUCUAAAAUACCAUUAUCCACAUGACUACUAUAUCAAAGCACAAACUAAUGGAUUGAUCAAGAAGAGCACUGCAGUUGUCUUGCAGUUAUGCAACUUAUCAACCCAUAACUGCGAUAACUGCAAGUUUUUUUAAUAAGAAAAGAGAUUGUAUGACUUCGGUAUCCGCAAUACGGUAUCGUGCAUUGAUUCCCAUCUUAGAAUGGCUCUCUUCCGUAUAGGUGGAAAUAGGAAAGGUUAUGUCCUUUUUUCCAAUUCUUAAAACGAAGAGGCUUAAUCGGUUCAAACAAAGAUGACGAUGAUCAUUAUGGAGCCGAUCAUAAUGAGGAAUACGAUAAUACAUAUAAUAAUAAAUAAAAUGAUUUUACUUGUAUCUUAAACUUAUUUAAAUAAAAAAUUAUUUGUUUAA